UCGAACGGCAGCACGGGGGCAACCCUGGUGGCGAGUGGCGAACGGGUGAGUAAUACAUCGGAACGUGUCCUGUAGUGGGGGAUAGCCCGGCGAAAGCCGGAUUAAUACCGCAUACGCUCGAGAGAGGAAAGUGGGGGAUCUUCGGACCUCACGCUAAAGGGGCGGCCGAUGGCAGAUUAGCUAGUUGGUGGGGUAAAGGCCUACCAAGGCGACGAUCUGUAGCUGGUCUGAGAGGACGACCAGCCACACUGGGACUGAGACACGGCCCAGACUCCUACGGGAGGCAGCAGUGGGGAAUNUUGGACAAUGGGGGCAACCCUGAUCCANGCAUGCCGCGUGCGUGAAGAAGGCCUUCGGGUUGUAAAGCACUUUUGUCAGGGAAGAAAGGGCGUCCCUAUAUGAAAGCUGAUGACGGUACUGAAGAAUAGCACGGNCUACUACGUGCAGCAG
rnacentral:rRNA from 1 species